rnacentral:rRNA from 1 species
UACAGAGGGUGCGAGCGUUGUCCGGAAUCACUGGGCGUAAAGGGUGCGUAGGCGGUCGGGUAAGUCUGAUGUGAAAUCUCACAGCUUAACUGUGAAACUGCAUUGGAUACUAUCCGGCUAGAGGAAUGGAGGGGAGACUGGAAUACUUGGUGUAGCAGUGAAAUGCGUAGAUAUCAAGUGGAACACCAGUGGCGAAGGCGAGUCUCAGGACAUUUCCUGACGCUGAGGCACGAAAGCCAGGGGAGCAAACGGG